GGUAAUUGCGUUAAGGCUGCGACAUCUGUCACCCCCAUUGAUAGCCAGGGUUGAUUCGGCUGAUCUGGCUGGCUAGGCAGGUGUCCCCUUCCUACCUCACUGCUCCAUAUGCGAACCUCCUGAAGCUGUGUGCUCACUAGGUCGAAGAGGAUGGCUUUCCCCAAAUAGAGACGGACCGGUCUUCAGUGGAGGGCAUACGAAUAGCUGCGCUCCACUGCUAGAACUUCCAAACAAGCUCUCAAGUCCAUCUUUAUUUUUUUAAAUAUCCUUUGUGAGUCUAAAGAAUUACCAUACCUGAGAACUGAUUAUUUAUACUGAAAUUCACUGUAUAUAGUU
ensembl:misc_RNA 7SK 7SK RNA